CACAUAUGGCUCAAGUGGAUUCUGU
rnacentral:piRNA from 1 species